rnacentral:tRNA from 1 species
GGGGAUGUAGCUCAGCUGGGAAAAGCACCUGCUUUGCAAGCAGGGGGGCGUGGGUUCAAGUCCCAUCAUCUCCAC